GUACUCGCUUCGCCGGUACAUUUACUAAAAUUGGAACGAUAGAGGGAAGAUUAGCAUGGCCCCUGCGCAAGGAUGAGACAACAAAAAAAGUGAUUAGCACGACAGAA